CUGCAAUCAAGUUUGAAGCUGUUUACCUUGAGUUUGUAUCAGUUGUUUGUCCAUGUAUUAUUGUGAUUGAAGCUGAAGAAGUCACUGACAGGCAAGAUAUUAUAGCAGACAAUUUUGUGAACUAUGCUUAGCUCGGACUGCAGGCAGUGCAGUUCUACAUUGUCCAGACCCAAAAUUUCGAGCCUGGAGUCAUAGGGAAUU